rnacentral:rRNA from 1 species
AUUUGAAGGUCUAAUCUGCUCAAUGAUGAAUUAAAUUGCCGCAGUAUUUUAACUGUGCAAAGGUAGCAUAAUAAUUAGUUUCUUAAUUAGGAACUGGAAUGAAUGAUUGGACGAGAAAAUUACUGUCUCUUAUGGAUUGAUUAUUGAAUCUUAUUUUUAAGUUAAAAAGCUUAAAUUAUUAUAGAAGACGAGAAGACCCUAUAGAGUUUAAUAUUUAAAGUUUAAAAGAUUUUGGUAAAUUUCUUACAUUUUAAAUAUUUAGUUGGGGUGACUUAAAGAUUAACUAAAUUCUUUAAAUGUAAUAUUGAUGAUAAUUAAAUUAUAAAUCUAGUUUUUUAAAUUUAAAAUAAAUUACCUUAGGGAUAACAGCGUAAUUUUUCUUUAAAGUUCUUAUUGAAAGAAGAUUUUGCGACCUCGAUGUUGGAUUAAAAUUAAUUUUUGGUGCAGUAACUUAAAAAUUAGGUCUGUUCGACCUUUAAAAUUUUACAUGAUCUGAGUUUAAACCGGUGUAAGCCAGGUUGGAUUCUAUCUUUAGAUUAAUAAUAUAUUUUAGUACGAAAGGACCAAAUAUAUAUUAUAUUAUAAUUG